rnacentral:rRNA from 1 species
UGGGGAAUUUUGGACAAUGGGCGCAAGCCUGAUCCAGCAAUGCCGCGUGCAGGAUGAAGGCCUUCGGGUUGUAAACUGCUUUUGUACGGAACGAAAAGCCUCUCUCUAAUACAGGGGGGUGAUGACGGUACCGUAAGAAUAAGCACCGGCUAACUACGUGCCAGCAGCCGCGGUAAUACGUAGGGUGCAAGCGUUAAUCGGAAUUACUGGGCGUAAAGCGUGCGCAGGCGGUUUUGUAAGACAGUGGUGAAAUCCCCGGGCUCAACCUGGGAACUGCCAUUGUGACUGCAAGGCUGGAGUGCGGCAGAGGGGGAUGGAAUUCCGCGUGUAGCAGUGAAAUGCGUAGAUAUGCGGAGGAACACCGAUGGCGAAGGCAAUCCCCGUGGGCCUGCACUGACGCUCAUGCACGAAAGCGUGGGGAGCAAACAGGAUUAGAUACCCUGGUAGUCCNCGCCCUAAAACGAUGUCAACUGGUUGUUGGGGAUUUAUUUCUUCAGUAACGAAGCUAACGCGU